UUAAUGAGAGUUUGAUCCUGGCUCAGGACGAACGCUGGCGGCGUGCCUAAUACAUGCAAGUGGAACGCAAUUGAUUCUCCCGUAGCUUGCUACAUUUGAAUUGAUUGAGUCGCGAACGGGUGAGUAACGCGUAGGUAACCUACCUUAUAGCGGGGGAUAACUAUUGGAAACGAUAGCUAAUACCGCAUAAGAGUUGACAACACAUGUUGUUAAUUUAAAAGGAGCAAUUGCUUCACUAUGAGAUGGACCUGCGUUGUAUUAGCUAGUUGGUAAGGUAACGGCUUACCAAGGCAUCGAUACAUAGCCGACCUGAGAGGGUGAUCGGCCACACUGGGACUGAGACACGGCCCAGACUCCUACGGGAGGCAGCAGUAGGGAAUCUUCGGCAAUGGGGGGAACCCUGACCGAGCAACGCCGCGUGAGUGAAGAAGGUUUUCGGAUCGUAAAGCUCUGUUAUAAGCGAAGAACGGGAGUAAGAGUGGAAAGUUUACUCUGUGACGGUAGCUUAUCAGAAAGGGACGGCUAACUACGUGCCAGCAGCCGCGGUAAUACGUAGGUCCCGAGCGUUGUCCGGAUUUAUUGGGCGUAAAGCGAGCGCAGGUGGUUUAAUAAGUCUGAAGUUAAAGGCAUUGGCUCAACCAAUGUACGCUUUGGAAACUGUUAAACUUGAGUGCAGAAGGGGAGAGUGGAAUUCCAUGUGUAGCGGUGAAAUGCGUAGAUAUAUGGAGGAACACCGGUGGCGAAAGCGGCUCUCUGGUCUGUAACUGACACUGAGGCUCGAAAGCGUGGGUAGCGAACAGGAUUAGAUACCCUGGUAGUCCACGCCGUAAACGAUGAGUGCUAGGUGUUGGGUCCUUUCCGGGACUCAGUGCCGCAGCUAACGCAUUAAGCACUCCGCCUGGGGAGUACGACCGCAAGGUUGAAACUCAAAGGAAUUGACGGGGGCCCGCACAAGCGGUGGAGCAUGUGGUUUAAUUCGAAGCAACGCGAAGAACCUUACCAGGUCUUGACAUCCCGAUGCCCGUCCUAGAGAUAGGAUUUUACUUCGGUACAUCGGUGACAGGUGGUGCAUGGUUGUCGUCAGCUCGUGUCGUGAGAUGUUGGGUUAAGUCCCGCAACGAGCGCAACCCCUAUUGUUAGUUGCCAUCAUUUAGUUGGGCACUCUAGCGAGACUGCCGGUAAUAAACCGGAGGAAGGUGGGGAUGACGUCAAAUCAUCAUGCCCCUUAUGACCUGGGCUACACACGUGCUACAAUGGUCGGUACAACGAGCAGCGAACUGGUGACAGUAAGCCAAUCUCUUAAAGCCGAUCUCAGUUCGGAUUGUAGGCUGCAACUCGCCUACAUGAAGUCGGAAUCGCUAGUAAUCGCGGAUCAGCACGCCGCGGUGAAUACGUUCCCGGGCCUUGUACACACCGCCCGUCACACCACGAGAGUUUGUAACACCCGAAGUCGGUGAGGUAACCUUUUAAGGAGCCAGCCGCCUAAGGUGGGAUAGAUGAUUGGGGUGAAGUCGUAACAAGGUAGCCGUAUCGGAAGGUGCGGCUGGAUCACCUCCUUUCUAAGGAA
rnacentral:rRNA from 1 species